rnacentral:rRNA from 1 species
GUCUAUGGCUAUGCUACCCUGAAUAAACCCGAUCCCGUUUGAUCUUGGAAGCUAAGCAGAGUUCAGCCUGGUUAGUACUUGGAUGGGAUUCCACCUAGGAAGACCAGAUGCUAUAGGCG